GACAGAGGGGGCAAGCGUUGCUCGGAAUCACUGGGCGUAAAGGGCGCGUAGGCGGGCCAGACAGUCUGUGGUGAAAGCCUCCAGCUUAACUGGAGAAGUGCCGUGGAUACUGCUGGCCUCGAGGAGGGUAGGGGCAUCUGGAACGGUCGGUGGAGCGGUGAAAUGCGUUGAUAUCGACCGGAACUCCGGUGGCGAAGGCGAGGUGCUGGACCCUUUCUGACGCUGAGGCGCGAAAGCCAGGGGAGCAAACGGG
rnacentral:rRNA from 1 species